rnacentral:rRNA from 1 species
GACGAACGCUGGCGGCGUGCCUAAUACAUGCAAGUUGAGCGCUGAAGGUUGGUCCUUGUACCAACUGGAUGAGCAGCGAACGGGUGAGUAACGCGUGGGGAAUCUGCCUUUGAGCGGGGGACAACAUUUGGAAACGAAUGCUAAUACCGCAUAAAAACUUUAAACACAAGUUUUAAGUUUGAAAGGUGCAAUUGCAUCACUCAAAGAUGAUCCCGCGUUGUAUUAGCUAGUUGGUGAGGUAAAGGCUCACCAAGGCGAUGAUACAUAGCCGACCUGAGAGGGUGAUCGGCCACAUUGGGACUGAGACACGGCCCAAACUCCUACGGGAGGCAGCAGUAGGGAAUCUUCGGCAAUGGACGAAAGUCUGACCGAGCAACGCCGCGUGAGUGAAGAAGGUUUUCGGAUCGUAAAACUCUGUUGGUAGAGAAGAACGUUGGUGAGAGUGGAAAGCUCAUCAAGUGACGGUAACUACCCAGAAAGGGACGGCUAACUACGUG